GCCAAAUAAAUGGAUGGCAAAGAAUAUAGUAGAAAAUAUGACAGAGAACAAAUGCAUGGCAGAGAACAAAUGCAAGUCCAACUACAUUGAGCCGUAAUAAGGAAUUUUUCGUCAGUUUCAAAUUAUGCCACGGCCCGUAAGAUGGUGUAUAAGAUAAUAUAACACAUUGAAGG